CGUUUCAUCUUUAAGCUUUUUAUCCGGCAUCUGAAAUCUUCCUGCAGUAUUUGCUGGGGAUUAAGGGUCUCUUUCCACCGUGAGGAUGUCGGCAGACAUGGAAAUGGGACGGAAAGCUGUAAUCCUGGGCUCCACACCUGCAAGGGAAGGAGAGAGGGGGGUGAGCACCCAGAGCACCCAGAGCACCCAGAGCCCUGCCUGGGGCACAGACCCCCCGAGGGACACAGCACCCCGUCAGAACACCCUGUCUGCCCUUCCCUGCCAGGGACUGGCCUCGGGAGCCCCAGGCCUUCACCACCAGUGUUUUGGGAAUCCUACCUGAAAAUGGGCCCUGAGCUGGGUCAGGGGGAGCUGCUGGACUGCCAGCUCCCAAAGGACAUCCUCCUGCAGCCCCUGUCAUGCUGGCAGCAGUUUUUGGGUUUAAGCCCUUAAGAUGUAAAACUGUGCUGGGAACCAGAAGGACCCGACGCCUCCAGAGGGUUCUUCCCCCCAUCUCCUCAAUGCCCCAACCCGUGGUUUUCCUGUGGGGGCUGCCAGCCAGGGGGAGGGGACAGCUGCUGUUACAGACACCCAAAAAGGCAACAGAAACUACAUCGAGCCCUGGUUGAAGUGGGUAAAAAACUCACUUCCUCAGUACUGCAAAGCAGCAGAGCAUCAGCA